rnacentral:rRNA from 1 species
UUUCAGACUUGCGUCCGUACUUCCCAGGCGGCAAACUUAACGGCUUCCCUGCGGCACUGCAUUGGCCAUAAGCCAAUGCAUCACCGAGUUUGCAUCGUUUACAGCUGGGACUACCCGGGUAUCUAAUCCGGUUUGCUCCCCCAGCUUUCAUCCCUCACCGUCGAACGUGUUCUGGCAGACCGCCUUCGCCACUGGUGGUCCUCGGAGGAUCAGAGGAUUUUACCCCUACCCCCCGAAUACCGUCCGCCUCUCCCACUCCCUAGCUUUGUAGUAUCUCCAGCGGCCCAUCUGUUAAGCAGGUGGAUUUAACCGGAGACUUGCAAAGCCGGCUACGGAUGCUUU